rnacentral:rRNA from 1 species
GGGUGGAGCUUGCGGUUUAAUUGGAUUCAACGCCGGAAAUCUUACCGGGACCGACAGCAAUAUGAAGGCCAGGCUGAAGACUUUACUGGAUUAGCUGAGUGGAGGUGCAUGGCCGUCGUCAGUUCGUACUGUGAAGCAUCCUGUUAAGUCAGGCAACGAGCGAGACCCACGCCCACAGUUGCCAGCGUACUCUCUGGAGUGACGGGGACACUGUGGGGACCGCCUCUGCUAAAGGGGAGGAAGGAAUGGGCAACGGUAGGUCAGUAUGCCCCGAAUAUCCCGGGCUACACGCGAGCUACAAUGGUUGGUACAAUGGGUAUCUACCCCGAAAGGGGACGGUAAUCUCCUAAAACCAAUCUUAGUUCGGAUUGAGG